GCGGGUAUCGUUUAUCGGUAGGACGCGACCUUCCCAAGGUUGAGAGCAGAGUUCGACUCUCUGUACCCGCACCA
rnacentral:tRNA from 1 species